GGUUAAGCGACUAAGCGUACACGGUGGAUGCCCUGGCAGUCAGAGGCGAUGAAGGACGUGCUAAUCUGCGAUAAGCGUCGGUAAGGUGAUAUGAACCGUUAUAACCGGCGAUUUCCGAAUGGGGAAACCCAGUGUGUUUCGACACACUAUCAUUAACUGAAUCCAUAGGUUAAUGAGGCGAACCGGGGGAACUGAAACAUCUAAGUACCCCGAGGAAAAGAAAUCAACCGAGAUUCCCCCAGUAGCGGCGAGCGAACGGGGAGCAGCCCAGAGCCUGAAUCAGUGUGUGUGUUAGUGGAAGCGUCUGGAAAGGCGCGCGAUACAGGGUGACAGCCCCGUACACAAAAAUGCACAUGCUGUGAGCUCGAUGAGUAGGGCGGGACACGUGGUAUCCUGUCUGAAUAUGGGGGGACCAUCCUCCAAGGCUAAAUACUCCUGACUGACCGAUAGUGAACCAGUACCGUGAGGGAAAGGCGAAAAGAACCCCGGCGAGGGGAGUGAAAAAGAACCUGAAACCGUGUACGUACAAGCAGUGGGAGCACGCUUAGGCGUGUGACUGCGUACCUUUUGUAUAAUGGGUCAGCGACUUAUAUUCUGUAGCAAGGUUAACCGAAUAGGGGAGCCGAAGGGAAACCGAGUCUUAACUGGGCGUUAAGUUGCAGGGUAUAGACCCGAAACCCGGUGAUCUAGCCAUGGGCAGGUUGAAGGUUGGGUAACACUAACUGGAGGACCGAACCGACUAAUGUUGAAAAAUUAGCGGAUGACUUGUGGCUGGGGGUGAAAGGCCAAUCAAACCGGGAGAUAGCUGGUUCUCCCCGAAAGCUAUUUAGGUAGCGCCUCGUGAAUUCAUCUCCGGGGGUAGAGCACUGUUUCGGCAAGGGGGUCAUCCCGACUUACCAACCCGAUGCAAACUGCGAAUACCGGAGAAUGUUAUCACGGGAGACACACGGCGGGUGCUAACGUCCGUCGUGAAGAGGGAAACAACCCAGACCGCCAGCUAAGGUCCCAAAGUCAUGGUUAAGUGGGAAACGAUGUGGGAAGGCCCAGACAGCCAGGAUGUUGGCUUAGAAGCAGCCAUCAUUUAAAGAAAGCGUAAUAGCUCACUGGUCGAGUCGGCCUGCGCGGAAGAUGUAACGGGGCUAAACCAUGCACCGAAGCUGCGGCAGCGACGCUGAUGCGUUGUUGGGUAGGGGAGCGUUCUGUAAGCCUGCGAAGGUGUGCUGUGAGGCAUGCUGGAGGUAUCAGAAGUGCGAAUGCUGACAUAAGUAACGAUAAAGCGGGUGAAAAGCCCGCUCGCCGGAAGACCAAGGGUUCCUGUCCAACGUUAAUCGGGGCAGGGUGAGUCGACCCCUAAGGCGAGGCCGAAAGGCGUAGUCGAUGGGAAACAGGUUAAUAUUCCUGUACUUGGUGUUACUGCGAAGGGGGGACGGAGAAGGCUAUGUUGGCCGGGCGACGGUUGUCCCGGUUUAAGCGUGUAGGCUGGUUUUCCAGGCAAAUCCGGAAAAUCAAGGCUGAGGCGUGAUGACGAGGCACUACGGUGCUGAAGCAACAAAUGCCCUGCUUCCAGGAAAAGCCUCUAAGCAUCAGGUAACAUCAAAUCGUACCCCAAACCGACACAGGUGGUCAGGUAGAGAAUACCAAGGCGCUUGAGAGAACUCGGGUGAAGGAACUAGGCAAAAUGGUGCCGUAACUUCGGGAGAAGGCACGCUGAUAUGUAGGUGAGGUCCCUCGCGGAUGGAGCUGAAAUCAGUCGAAGAUACCAGCUGGCUGCAACUGUUUAUUAAAAACACAGCACUGUGCAAACACGAAAGUGGACGUAUACGGUGUGACGCCUGCCCGGUGCCGGAAGGUUAAUUGAUGGGGUUAGCGCAAGCGAAGCUCUUGAUCGAAGCCCCGGUAAACGGCGGCCGUAACUAUAACGGUCCUAAGGUAGCGAAAUUCCUUGUCGGGUAAGUUCCGACCUGCACGAAUGGCGUAAUGAUGGCCAGGCUGUCUCCACCCGAGACUCAGUGAAAUUGAACUCGCUGUGAAGAUGCAGUGUACCCGCGGCAAGACGGAAAGACCCCGUGAACCUUUACUAUAGCUUGACACUGAACAUUGAGCCUUGAUGUGUAGGAUAGGUGGGAGGCUUAGAAGUGUGGACGCCAGUCUGCAUGGAGCCGACCUUGAAAUACCACCCUU
rnacentral:rRNA from 1 species